rnacentral:lncRNA from 1 species
GACCCCUAUUGACUAUAGAGAAUGAUGAAAUCCAUAGAGAUGAAGAACUGCAUAAUUUGAUAGCAAAUAGGCUAUGAGUUACUCAUAACCAGUGGAGUACGUUUCAUGAGAGCCAUAUAAUGAAAUUCAUAUGUAUAAUAAUUGUAGCAUAGUUUAUGUUAUUAUGUAUAAUGUGUUUAAUAUUGAUUGCACAUAAAUGUAGAAAAUUAAGGG